UACAGAGGUCCCGAGCGUUGUUCGGAUUCACUGGGCGUAAAGGGUGCGUAGGUGGCAUGGCCAGUUUGAUGUGAAAGCUCAGGGCUUAACCCUGAAAUGGCAUUGAAUACUGCUGUGCUGGAGGUUUGGAGGGGGACUGGAAUUCCAGGUGUAGCGGUGAAAUGCGUAGAUAUCUGGAGGAACACCGGUGGCGAAGGCGGCGUUCUGGACUGCUACUGACACUGAGGAACGAAAGCCAGGGAGCAAACGGG
rnacentral:rRNA from 1 species